rnacentral:rRNA from 1 species
AGUGUCCUACGGGACGCAGCAGUCGAGAAUCAUUCACAAUGGGGGAAACCCUGAUGGUGCGACGCCGCGUGGGGGAAUGAAGGUCUUCGGAUUGUAACCCCCUGUCAUGUGGGAGCAAAUUAAAAAGAUAGUACCACAAGAGGAAGAGACGGCUAACUCUGUGCCAGCAGCCGCGGUAAUACAGAGGUCUCAAGCGUUGUUCGGCAUCACUGGGCGUAAAGCGUGCGUAGGCUGUUUCGUAAGUCGUGUGUGAAAGGCGCGGGCUCAACCCGCGGACGGCACAUGAUACUGCGAGCAUAGAGUAA